GCCUUACACAUGCAAGUCGAACGGCAGCACGGGUGCUUGCACCUGGUGGCGAGUGGCGAACGGGUGAGUAAUACAUCGGAACGUACCUUAUCGUGGGGGAUAACGCAGCGAAAGCUGUGCUAAUACCGCAUACGCCCUGAGGGGGAAAGCGGGGGAUCGAAAGACCUCGCGCGAUUAGAGCGGCCGAUGCCUGAUUAGCUUGUUGGUGGGGUAAAAGCCCACCAAGGCGACGAUCAGUAGCUGGUCUGAGAGGACGAUCAGCCACACUGGGACUGAGACACGGCCCAGACUCCUACGGGAGGCAGCAGUGGGGAAUUUUGGACAAUGGGGGCAACCCUGAUCCAGCAAUGCCGCGUGAGUGAAGAAGGCCUUCGGGUUGUAAAGCUCUUUUGUCAGGGAAGAAACACCGGCUCUAACACAGUCCGGGAAUGACGGUACC
rnacentral:rRNA from 1 species